rnacentral:tRNA from 2 species
AAUGAUUUGGCAGAUUAGUGCAUUAAGUUUAGAAUUUAAAUAAGUAUUUAAAAAUUACAUUCAUUA